rnacentral:rRNA from 1 species
AUUGAACGCUGGCGGCAGGCCUAACACAUGCAAGUCGAACGGUAACAGGAAGAAGCUUGCUUCUUUGCUGACGAGUGGCGGACGGGUGAGUAAUGUCUGGGAAACUGCCUGAUGGAGGGGGAUAACUACUGGAAACGGUAGCUAAUACCGCAUAACGUCGCAAGACCAAAAAGGGGGACCUUCGGGCCUCUUGCCAUCGGGUGUGCCCAGAUGGGAUUAGCUAGUAGGUGGGGGAACGGCUCACCUAGGCGACGAUCCCUAGCUGGUCUGAGAGGAUGACCAGCCACACUGGAACUGGGACACGGUCCAGACUCCUACGGGAGGCAGCAGUGGGGAAUAUUGCACAAAGGGCGCAAGCCUGAUGCAGCCAUGCCGCGUGUAUGAAGAAGGCCUUCGGGUUGUAAAGUACUUUCAGCGGGGAGGAAGGGAGUAAAGUUAAUACCUUGGCUCAUUGACGUUACCCGCAGAAGAAGCACCGGCUAACUCCGUG